ensembl:lncRNA
AACAAGCACUGGGAAUUGCUGCUUCUACUGUUGUCUUGCAUGGAAAUGAUAUUUUCCCCGUCCCUGACUCCAGAGGCCACAAUAUAUCUCAGAUGUCUUAUUCAAGACCACCAUACACUCUUCCAAGAGUUGUUCCCUCAUUUGCAUUUAAAGGCGAAACACCAUUUUAUGGUUCAUUAUCCAUCUACAUUCAGAAAAAUAGGCCCCCUAGUCAACUUUUGGACAAUGAGAUUUGAAGCUAAACAUAGCUUUUUUAAAAGACUAAGCCAUGUCACAUGUAAUUUCAAAAAUGUCACAAAGACUAUGGCAUACAGGCACCAAAUGAUGCUGUGCUUUCAGCUGUUGACAGGCAGGUUGUUCGAAAAGGAAACUGAGAUUGGUCCAGGUCAAAUGUCUGUUCUUCAGUCGGUUAAGGCUGUCCAAGAUGUUACUGGUGGCUUGGAAGAUUUUCCCCUUUCCAGUGAUGUUUAUAUCCCAGCAUGGGUCAAGGUUAAUGGCACAGUAUACAGACCAGGGAUGACUGUUUUCAUGACCUGCACUACAGAUGGAGAUCCUCAGUUUGACUCAUUUGCCUCAGAAUGUGCAUGCAAGCACCUCUUUACAUAAAGUUCUCACACACUGGUCACUAUGGGUUGAGCGGGGUUGGGUAGAUAAAUACACAUGUAUGAGAAUUGGGAAGGGUGAGACCAAUUCUGCAUGGAUACACCGAACAUCUAUUAUACAGGUACACAGAACUGUAAUUUUUAGUGAUUGCUGAUAAUAAUGCUUGAUAUUUACUAGUUUUUUUUUUUUUUUUAAACAGUCUCUGGGCCAUAGCCCCAACAACAAUCGAUCAUGUCCCAAUCAGCCUGUAAGGAAUGAACAACCAACACCAACUGAGACAAUAGUGGAAAGCUGCAAGACGAGAACAACAAGCAACUCCACAUUUGUAAUUAUGACUUGUGCUACACUUGAAUUUGAAAUCUAGACAAUUAUUUUAUGUUUGUUUGUCUAUACAUUCUACAUUCUUUUUACAGGAUAUACGAGAAAUACUUAGAAAAUCUGGAGGACCAGCGUUAAUAACAUCCUUAGAAAGGGACAGGCACCUAAGCCUCAAGGAGAGACGUCAGAUGGUGCGGUUGUUGGUUUCUCAUUUGAUGGAAAGAUUUGGGAAAAAGUGAGUAGAAGUAUUAAACCAUAAUCACUUCACAAAUUAUCUUAAAUAAAUAAAACUACACAAAUAAGGUCUAUAUGAAUGUUCAUAUGUUUGUUUCUUUGUAAAGCCCAACAGCUGAGAUCAAAAAGGAGAUGGCUCUGGCGCUAACUUGCCAGUUUCCUUGUCUGAAAAAUAGUGAGGGACAUGGAUAUGUAAGUUGUGAUGACACAUUAUGAUUAAAAGAUAAUCACAAAUUGGCAGGGAGAACCAGUCCCCACUUUAUGACUGAUUUUUAAAUAUUGUUUUUAUAUUUUUGCAGGAGGCAUGGUAUACACCUGGUCGUUAUCUUCACCCUGUAACUGGGUAUUUAGAAGAAAGACUGCCAGCCACAGUAAUCUCAGAAUUCCUCUUCUCGACCAAGUUUUCCACUGCCAGGUUAGAGCUUGGGAUGGGUCAUGAUGGAGAUAUAUAUAUAUAUAUAUAUAUAUAUACACACACACACACAUACGCGCACACGCGCUACCAGUCAAAAGUUUGUGAUCAAGAUUUUUAAUCUUAAGAAGUUUCUUAUGCUCAUCAAGGCUGCAUUUAUUUGAUCAAAAUACAGAAAAAACUGUAAUAUUUUAAAAGAUUUUCUAUUUUAAUAAACUGUAAAAUAUAAUUUAUUCCUUUGAUGUCAAAGCUGUAUUUACCGUACAUACAGUAUAUGGUAACAGUCACAAAAAGAGUAUACUUUUAGGGCAUAGAAUAAGUUGGCACAUUAGUUCUCAACUAAGAUCCUAGAGUAUUCUGUAAACAUUCUGAACGUCUUUGUUUUCUUUGUACUCUACGUGUCUCUUAAUUUUUUUUCCUCAUUUUAAUGUUUUGAUAUUAACAGAGUCUGAGUUGUCUUUGACUGACAUUCACACAAUGAUUGAGUGGCUAAAGAACAACAGAAGCGCUCACAGUCAAGUGGAGGAGUUCAUGAAACGUACAGCACCCCCAUCGGGCUGCAUGGAUUCGAACUUCUGGAACAAAAACUAUUGAGGAAAUCAACAGAGAAUAUCCUAGACUUUGUGACAUUCCUGGAAUGGCGAGUAUAAUGAUGUACAGUAUACAGAAUUUUCUGAAGGGUUGUCUUAGCCUUUAGCAGAAAUCCUACAUUAACUAAAUUUAACUAAAAUGCUUAAGUUUAUUCAUUCUUUUGUUGCAAUCUACCAUAUAUUAAUAGCAACUUAAUGUUAUUCUUAGAUAUCGCAGGACUUUAAAGUUAUAUUCCCUGACCAGGCGGACCGCCUUUAUGAAUUCUGGGCUCCUGUCAUCACUGACCGGAUUUUACUCUUUGCAAAGAAAGAACCCAAGGCUUCAGAUGUUCUUCCAGAAAAUCUGGAAACACUGGCAAUAGGUAGGACACAGGUCGUAUUUGAUUUCAUAUAGACUUCAGAUGAUUUUUUUUGUAAAACUCAGUCCCUCCAGGAUUUUGUGAUUCUGCGAUCGCUGAAUUUAACGCAAAAUUAAACAAAGUCCACAUUAUUCAGAGGAGCUUGCAAUUUUUUCUAAACUGCUGCAGAUUUCCCACAUAAGUUGGGCCUAGACGCGUCAUGUGAUGUCAUCGCAACAACAUGCAUUCAGCCGAUGCCCACUUUGAAUUGAUCGCUAAACUUUUGUUUGUGCUGUUACUUCAUCCAACUGUAAAGCGCGCAGGCUCUCCAAAACACACACACACUGAAGUGACAUUUUUUAAAAUACUAACUUAUUAUAAGCCAUGUAAAGCUUGAAGUAAUUCAGUAAUAGUCAGAAAAUCAUGGAACUUUUUUAAUCUUUAAAUAACAUUUAAAAGACAAAAAAGAAGGGGAAAAAAAUCAUGUUUUUUGUUUUGUCAUCGAUACACCAGGCUUUGAUUGCCCAUAUAAUGAUAUAAUAUUAUAUCUUAUUAUAAAUUACACCGGCCAAUGGUUCUUGAUUGUCAGAAAGGCAAUAAAAAAUGUUAGAACAGUGUUGUCUGUGGUAUAUUUUCACAGCAAAACACCAAAAGACAUGCUGCAAAUAUUGCCGCAAAUUUUCAGAAAAGCCACAGAAAAUCAGUCAUUGUAGGCUGCAAAAAUCAGAAGAAUCCCGCAGAAACCCUGGAGGGACUGAAAACUGGUUUAAUCUGUUUCUAAAUGCAAAUGAUAGUAGAUCCCCACAAAGAUUGUAAAAAUUAAAACUAAGCUUAGUUUUUUCAAAGCUUUCUCUGUACUUUUAUCAUUUAAAGGUGUUCGUGCAGAAAUUGCCUUUAAAACCCUUCCUGCCAUCCUGCCAUCUUCACCAUACCGCACAAAUGGAAAAAUGGUGUGCCCAACAUACACAGAAAUGAAGCAGUCCUUCAUUGACAUUCAACCUGUAAGUAAAAGCAACACUGCAAAAUCAUAUGUGUUAAAAUUACAGUGCUCUGUGUAGUCAAGUCACCUUUAUUUAUUUUGUAUUAGACACACGCUGUACAUUACAGAUCGUUCCAAGAAGAUAUUUUUAAAAAAAAAAUGACAGAAUUGUCAUUUUUGGGUGAAUUAUCACUUUAACCAAUUUAAAUUCGCUAUAGCUUUAACUCAUUUAAAUUCACUCAUUUGUAAAGUUAUUGUAUCCAUGAAAUAUAAUCACAAUGCAUGUUAACUGAACUUUGUUUAUUCUUUUAAGGUUGGCACUAAUAUAGUGCAGUACUUGAACCACGAGGCAAGCCAGAAUCCACAGGUCCUGGUGCUUGGUGACAAGGAAGACUCUUCCCAAGUUUUUAUUAUUUUCAACGGGGAGGCGAUGGAACAGGAGACACUACUACAAGCAGUCGAUCUGUGUUUCAAACUUUUCUUUGUAUAUGACAUCAACUACCCAAAGCCCUCUGCUCCCAUUUGGGAGUUUUUGGAGCACACAGUCUUUAAUAUUCCAGGUGGAGUUCCUUCUGCACACUGCCUCCUCCUAAAAAACUUUGUAUUUAGUAAUCAGUAAAAAAAAAAAUUAUUUUACUGAUCAUCAGUAGGCCCAGCAGCUAGCAGAUUAUUAUUAUUAUUAUUACUUGUGUUUAUGAUUAUUUUUUGUUUUAUUGUUAUGUUUAUAUGUUAUGUUUUUGUGAACUGUAUGUGCACAUUUGUGUGUUUUGAUAUGAAUAUGAAUUGACACACAUUUGUACAUCUUGAAAAUGUCAGUUUUUUACACAUUCGUGUACAUUUAAAUAAAAUAUUUCAAAAUAUAUUUGUUAUAUAU